CCAGGUUAUGGCGCCAUAUGCUGACACUCAUCAGACCCCUAGCAAAGGUGUUAGUUGAUAUAGCCAAAAAGACGGUGACCAUGGAAGCUGGAAUCCUCUAAGGCGUACAUAACAACUCACCUGUUGAAUCAACUAAAACCUGAAAAUGGAUGGCAUCAGAACAUCUGGCCCAUAACUGG
rnacentral:ncRNA from 1 species